GCUCCUGACCUGAGUUC
rnacentral:misc_RNA from 1 species